GAUCCCUGCUACACCUCCUCUUCUCUUGAAGAGAAGGAAGGCUGCCGUUACACCUGUUUCCUUCCCGUAAAGGGAAUGCAUCUGUCUGCGUCUUCYGGCACAUACAAUCAUGUUUAUUCAAUAUCCACAGUAAAUCAAAUACAGGAAAAUAAUAGUUUCUCUCAACCAUAGCCCAGUGGUGGCUGGUGCCGCUAGAAACUAAGAAGGCAAGAUACCGAUACUGUCARGUUUGUUCAGAGGCUUGUUAACAGGUUGGUUUUUAUGUGACGUUAAAGUGCCUCACAAAAGACACAAGGUUGGUCAAUUGUUGUUUUGUAGUCUGACGUCAAAUGUUGGCAGAAAAACUGGCCUGGCAGGUCGAGCGUAUCAAUGAGUGUGGUGGGGAAGCUUGUUACCAGUAAACUUUUGUGUUGUAGCCUGUGAUUCACAGCACACACCGGUGAGAUGGUGAAAAAACUAUUCUGCAGRCUUUUGCUUUUAGGUCUCUUAUAUUUCUCAGUGUAUUUCUGGUACUUAAAUGUUACUGAAUCGAGUAUGAAUGCUUUGCUGUCCAGUUUGAAGGAUAACCAAAGUGAAGAUGGAUUUAAAAAAUCAGGAGUCUAUUAUAGAGUUAUGCGCUUGCAGUCAGACUUCGGGAAAGAACAAAUAAUGAAAGAAAAUAGGUGAAUAACAGAGGAAUGUCCAUCUCUCGUCUGGACGGCGUAGUCGGAAAAUGCCGGAUGAUCCAUCACGAAAGAGACAAAAAUAACAACGACAAUCCUCAGAGGUUCAAGAGAAUAGCUCAUAUGUUAAAGACGAUGGAUACCGAUGGCCUCAACUCUCUCGAGUACGAAGUUGUCGCAGUUGAAAAGCAUGACCUGUUCACAAAGAUUACAGUAGAUGUGGGGAUGCCACCCAAAGAUAAAGAAGACAUGGACAAAGGAUGAAUGAGGAAGAGAUGAACUAGCAGGGCCGGAUUUUGGGCCCCGGGGCAAAACAGCGAAUUUCCUGAAAUUAAACACUAUUUACACAGAGAACAGGAGAUGAUUGUGGACUACAGGAAAGGGAGGACAGAGUACGCCCCCAUUCUCA